UCAGCGGCGGACGGGUGAGUAAUGCCUAGGAAUCUGCCUGGUAGUGGGGGAUAACGUCCGGAAACGGGCGCUAAUACCGCAUACGUCCUGAGGGAGAAAGUGGGGGAUCUUCGGACCUCACGCUAUCAGAUGAGCCUAGGUCGGAUUAGCUAGUUGGUGGGGUAAAGGCCUACCAAGGCGACGAUCCGUAACUGGUCUGAGAGGAUGAUCAGUCACACUGGAACUGAGACACGGUCCAGACUCCUACGGGAGGCAGCAGUGGGGAAUAUUGGACAAUGGGCGAAAGCCUGAUCCAGCCAUGCCGCGUGUGUGAAGAAGGUCUUCGGAUUGUAAAGCACUUUAAGUUGGGAGGAAGGGCAGUAAGUUAAUACCUUGCUGUUUUGACGUUACCAACAGAAUAAGCACCGGCUAACUUCGUGCCAGCAGCCGCGGUAAUACGAAGGGUGCAAGCGUUAAUCGGAAUUACUGGGCGUAAAGCGCGCGUAGGUGGUUCAGCAAGUUGGAUGUGAAAUCCCCGGGCUCAACCUGGGAACUGCAUCCAAAACUACUGAGCUAGAGUACGGUAGAGGGUGGUGGAAUUUCCUGUGUAGCGGUCAAAUGCGUAGAUAUAGGAAGGAACUCCAGU
rnacentral:rRNA from 1 species